rnacentral:antisense_RNA from 1 species
GAUUACAAUAGAUUUAGCGUAUUUUUACGCUUUAUUGAGGUAGAAUAUUUCACACUUUAGCGAGGAAUGGAAACAUUCUAUGAGAACGUUAUCUGAAG